GAUGAACGCUGGCGGCGUGCCUAAUACAUGCAAGUCGAGCGAACGGACGAGAAGCUUGCUUCUCUGAUGUUAGCGGCGGACGGGUGAGUAACACGUGGAUAACCUACCUAUAAGACUGGGAUAACUUCGGGAAACCGGAGCUAAUACCGGAUGAUAUUUUGAACCGCAUGGUUCAAAAGUGAAAGACGGUCUUGCUGUCACUUAUAGAUGGAUCCGCGCUGCAUUAGCUAGUUGGUAAGGUAACGGCUUACCAAGGCAACGAUGCAUAGCCGACCUGAGAGGGUGAUCGGCCACACUGGAACUGAGACACGGUCCAGACUCCUACGGGAGGCAGCAGUAGGGAAUCUUCCGCAAUGGGCGAAAGCCUGACGGAGCAACGCCGCGUGAGUGAUGAAGGUCUUCGGAUCGUAAAACUCUGUUAUUAGGGAAGAACAUAUGUGUAAGUAACUGUGCACAUCUUGACGGUACCUAAUCAGAAAGCCACGGCUAACUGCGUG
rnacentral:rRNA from 1 species